UACGGGGGGGGCAAGCGUUGUUCGGAAUUACUGGGCGUAAAGGGCUCGUAGGCGGGCAUUCAAGUCAGGGGUGAAAUCCUCCAGCUUAACUGGAGAACUGCCUUUGAUACUGGGUGCCUCGAGUGAGGUAGGGGCGUGCGGAACUGAUGGUGGAGCGGUGAAAUGUGUUGAUAUCAUCAGGAACUCCGGUGGCGAAAGCGGCGCGCUGGACCUUAACUGACGCUGAGGCGCGAAAGCCAGGGGAGCAAACGGG
rnacentral:rRNA from 1 species